UACGUAGGGGGCGAGCGUUGUCCGGAUUUAUUGGGCGUAAAGAGCGUGUAGGCGGCCAGGUAGGUCUGCUGUGAAAACUCGAGGCUCAACCCCGAGCGGUCGUGAGAAACUGGCGGGCUAGAGUGCGGGAGAGGAGAGUGGAAUUCCUGGUGUAGCGGUGAAAUGCGCAGAUAUCAGGAAGAACACCUAUGGCGAAGGCAGCUCUCUGGGACGGUACUGACGCUGAGACGCGAAAGCGUGGGGAGCGAACAGG
rnacentral:rRNA from 1 species